rnacentral:rRNA from 1 species
ACUUUUUAGUCUCAUGCUAGAAAGUUGAAAGAUGGUUCUGCUAUCACUACAGGAUGGGCCCGCGGCGCAUUAGCUAGUUGGUGAGGUAACGGCUCACCAAGGCGACGAUGCGUAGCCGACCUGAGAGGGUGAUCGGCCACACUGGGACUGAGACACGGCCCAGACUCCUACGGGAGGCAGCAGUAGGGAAUCUUCCACAAUGGGCGAAAGCCUGAUGGAGCAACGCCGCGUGAGUGAAGAAGGAUUUCGGUUCGUAAAACUCUGUUGUAAGGGAAGAACAAGUAGCGUAGUAACUGGCGCUACCUUGACGGUACCUUAUUAGAAAGCCACGGCUAACUACGUG